rnacentral:rRNA from 1 species
GAUGAACGCUAGCUACAGGCUUAACACAUGCAAGUCGAGGGGCAGCACAGUGUAGCAAUACACGGGUGGCGACCGGCGCACGGGUGCGUAACGCGUAUCCAACCUUCCCGUUACUCUUGGAUAGCCUUCCGAAAGGGAGAUUAAUACAAGAUGGUAUUCAAAUUCUGCAUGUUAUUUGAAUUAAAGAUUUAUCGGUAACGGAUGGGGAUGCGUGACAUUAGAUAGUAGGCGGGGUAACGGCCCACCUAGUCUACGAUGUCUAGGGGUUCUGAGAGGAAGGUCCCCCACACUGGAACUGAGACACGGUCCAGACUCCUACGGGAGGCAGCAGUGAGGAAUAUUGGUCAAUGGUCGGAAGACUGGAACCCAGCCCAAAGUAGCGUGAAGGAUGAAGGUUCUAUGGAUUGUAAACUUCUUUUAUACGGGAAUAAAACCUCCCACGUGUGGGAGCUUGUAUGUACCGUAUGAAUAAGCAUCGGCUAACU